CAAAGGCAUGGUCCUGACCUUAUUAUCAGCUCUAACCCAACUUACACAUGCAAGUCUCCGCAGUCCCGUGAAUAUGCCCUCAAUCCCCUGCCCGGGGACGAGGAGCGGGCAUCAGGCACAAACUUUAGCCCAAGACGCCCAGCCAAGCCACACCCCCAAGGGAAUUCAGCAGUGAUAGACAUUAAGCCAUAAGUGAAAACUUGACUCAGUCAGGGUUAAGAGGGCCGGUAAAACUCGUGCCAGCCACCGCGGUUAAACGAGAGGCCCUAGUUGAUUUUAUCACGGCGUAAAGGGUGGUUAAGGAAGACAAAACAAUAAAGCCGAAUGGCCCUUUGGCCGUCAUACGCUUCUAGGUGUCCGAAGCCCAAUAGUACGAAAGUAGCUUUAAUAAAACCCACCUGACCCCACGAAAGCUAAGAAACAAACUGGGAUUAGAUACCCCACUAUGCUCAGCUAUAAACCUAGACGUCCACCUACAAUUAGACGUCCGCCCGGGUACUACGAGCAUCAGCUUGAAACCCAAAGGACCUGACGGUGCCUUAGACCCCCCUAGAGGAGCCUGUUCUAGAACCGAUAACCCCCGUUAAACCUCACCACUUCUAGCCACCCCAGCCUAUAUACCGCCGUCGCCAGCUUACCCUGUGAAGGCAAUAAAAGUAAGCAAAAUGGGCACAACCCAGAACGUCAGGUCGAGGUGUAGCGUACGAAGUGGGAAGAAAUGGGCUACAUUUUCUACUUACAGAACACUACGAACAUGCAACAUGAAAUAGUGCUUGAAGGAGGAUUUAGUAGUAAAAAGGAAGCAGAGUGUCCUUUUGAACCCGGCUCUAAGGCGCGUACACACCGCCCGUCACUCUCCCCUGUCAACACGCAAUAAAGAUUCAUAACAAUAAAGCACUGACAAGGGGAGGCAAGUCGUAACAUGGUAAGUGUACCGGAAGGUGCACUUGG
rnacentral:ncRNA from 1 species